AUUUUUCCUUUUUACAUUUUAAUGUGUGAAUAAAAGACUUGUCUUCUUCAAAUUCUCCAAAAAUCUUCAAAUUACGAGUUUGCAACUAAAUUUUAAUAUGUAAAAUGAUUAAUUAAACAUUGUCACACCCUCCACCUCUGCAUCUGCCUCUCUCUCUCUCUCCCUCCUUGUGUGUCUGUUUAAUUGCAGGAUCAGAGACAGGUGUGCAGGAGUCAGGCUACCAGCUGCCAUCCGUCAUGAUUAACCUUGCUAUAAAGAGCCGGUUCAGACUCCUCCACUUCACCAGAUUGUAGACUCUGUUUACUCAGUUAGUCAUGGUUCAAGCCAACUAUCUUGUUACUGCUUUGUCAGUUUUUUGCCUUUGCCUAAUCCCUGUUUCCCUGUGCCUGCAGAAAACUUCAGCCUGACUCAUCUGUCUCCCUCCUCAGUUCAGUUCAGCUCAGCUCAGCUCCCUACUUUCUGGGACCUGCUCUGCCUGGCUCCCCUCAGCAUUCCUCUGCCCUGCUUGGCCCCAGCUUCUUGCCCUAACCUCUGCCCCAGAAGUGGUAACCACUGACCCUCCAGCGACAUUGUUGGAGUUCCAGUUGGGGUGGAUGUAGACACGGCUCACGCUCAUGUACUGCUCUCUGCCCUCAUGGCUGUUGAUGUUGUGAUCUCCGAGAACAACGCGCCAAGUCCUGGAACUGUAGAGUUUUAGUUAUUCAGCAGAUAUUCUAUGAUGCAUGAAACUCCCACCGGUCCACACAGUGAGCAGCAGUCAUGACCCAUCCUCUCCUGAUCAGGGUUCCUCCACAGCAUUCCCGACACUGGAUAAUGCUCAAUAAAAGGAUUACAAGCAACAUCUGAUAUGCACCUGAUGAAGUUUUUCAAAGUGUGUGUGAAAUACAUGUUUUGAACUAAGUGU